rnacentral:siRNA from 1 species
UCUUCUAUUUCUUUUGGUCCGGAC